rnacentral:rRNA from 1 species
GUGAGGAAUAUUGGUCAAUGGACGAGAGUCUGAACCAGCCAAGUCGCGUGAAGGAAGACGGUUCUAUGAAUUGUAAACUUCUUUUGUGCAGGAAUAAAGUGGGUUACGUGUAACCUUUUGUAUGUACUGUACGAAUAAGGAUCGGCUAACUCCGUGCCAGCAGCCGCGGUAAUACGGAGGAUCCGAGCGUUAUCCGGAUUUAUUGGGUUUAAAGGGUGCGUAGGUGGUUUGAUAAGUCAGCGGUGAAAGUUUGCAGCUUAACUGUAAAAUUGCCGUUGAAACUGUCGAUCUUGAGUGCAAAUGAGGUAAGCGGAAUGUGUUGUGUAGCGGUGAAAUGCUUAGAUAUAACACAGAACACCGAUUGCGAAGGCAGCUUACUGGGAUGCAACUGACGCUCAUGCACGAAAGCGUGGGGAUCAAACAGGAUUAGAUACCCGAGUAGUCC